rnacentral:rRNA from 1 species
UGGGGAAUUUUGCACAAUGGGGGAAACCCUGAUGCAGCGACGCCGCGUGAUUUAGAAGGCCUUCGGGUUGGAAAAAUCUUUUCUAUGGGAAGAAAAUGACAGUACCAUAGGAAUAAGGACCGGCUAAUUACGUGCCAGCAGCCGCGGUAAUACGUAAGGUCCGAGCGUUGUCCGGAAUCAUUGGGCGUAAAGGGUACGUAGGCGGGUAAGCAAGUUAGAAGUGAAAUCCUGUAGCUCAACUACAGUAAGCUUUUAAAACUGCUCAUCUUGAGAUAUGGAAGGGAAAGUGGAAUUCCUAGUGUAGCGGUGAAAUGCGCAGAUAUUAGGAGGAAUACCGGUGGCGAAGGCGACUUUCUGGCCAUAAUCUGACGCUGAGGUACGAAAGCGUGGGUAGCAAACAGG